GUUUUAAAUCAGUUUAAUUUUAUUUAAAGGUUUAAGUUUAGUAUAAUGAAUUUAACUACUUUUUAAUGUACCAUACUGUUUAUCACACUCUUGGCAAAUGCUUCAUGAUUUAUAACUGAGUUCCCUUCUUCGUCUCUACUUCCACUUUCUUUUUUCCCCUUCAUCUUUCUACUAGAAAGUGGAAUUUUCUCUUACUAGCCCAAAGCUGUCAAACUUGAAGGGAUUUGAGGUUCACCACUGUAAAAUAAGCAGGGAUUUCAGCAGAAGCAUGAGAUACACAAAACUUCCAGAAAGCUCACUGCAAAAACAAUAGCCAUGCUAGUUGUAGGGCCAGCACAGCAGCGUUUGCUGGAGUACCAAUGAUCAGAGCACCAGCUUGCCUCAGCAGCCUGAAUUCAGAGCCCUUGUGCCCAGUCUUUCUCUUCUGCUAGGCUACAUGUUCCAUUCUGCCACUACAAGCUGGUUUUUGCUGCCUGUCUGCUUGUGCAGACCCUCCAAGGAGGCUUGGCCAUCGUAAAAUGGGUAUUUUGCUGUUAGGAUGCAUGAGGUGGGAAUUUCGCCUGGCUGCAGAUCUGUAAUUCUCAUCCAGCUUUGGGCCUCUUCUUUCAAUGAGAGUAGUUAUGUACGUAUUUUAGCAACAAGUGACUCGAAGAUAGGGUGCAACAAGUCACUCUUCUCUAUGAGCUUGGAAGAUCCCUUGUAUGUGUGCUUCAGGUACAGACCAACAUCAAGGAAUUCCCUAUGUCAGUUAUGAACCCUGCUAAAUAAAACCAAAUCUAUAUUUUGAGUAAAUAAGACCACUGGCCAAUUGGUCCUUUGAAGAAAAAGCAAACAACUAUAUUUUGUUUCCCACCGUAUGAUCACUGUGUGACACUCCUAAACAACACAGAAAUUGAAAAAUCAAACACAUCCACAAAGUAAGUACAACUAAUGGCCAAUAUUUUUAAAUGUCCUGGUGAAAUGAAUGGGUACGUAGCAUGCAUCAGACAUAAAUUAAUUAGGCCUAUUUACUACUAAUCUCUGAAGUGCUGAAUUAAAUUUAAUAUGCAUAAUCAUUGUUACGCUCUGUGUAUGCUAUUACAGCUGCUCCGUUUGUGAUCUGUAUUUCCCAUGGUAUAGAUCUUCCAUCUGAUAUUGUUUAGCAAUAGAAGGCUUUCAAAGACCGGAUUUUGUUCUUCUGGACUAAUAAAAGGAUAUGCAUUAACUAUUAACCCAGAAGCAGUUGAUUUACUCAUGAACUCCUUCAGUACAGAACAUUACAUCUUUCUAUCCUGCUUUUGGUGUUGACAAUAUGCAGUGCUCCAAUGCUUCAGUUAUGUAAACACCAAUGAAAAUAUACAGCAACUAGAAGUGAUCAAGAGUAAGACAUCUGUCCUAUCAAAUUUCAUUUUGUCCUCCCUGUUAAUCAGUAAAAAUCAAAAACGAAAAUAAAACAAACAGAUCUUGGCUGUCCA
ensembl:lncRNA